CUCUUUCUCGAAGGAUCCAUUGGGGGACACAGACUGUGGGUGUAUACUGCUGUCUCUAGGAGGUGUGUGACACUAUGGCAACAAAAACAGUUGGCUCCUCCCAGCAGGAUAUACCUGCCUUCAGGCUCUGAGCUAAUCAGUUUAAGUUCCAGAGCAAUAGGAGGAGACUAACAGGUCAAGAAAAACCCAAAACUGUCCGAGAACCAGAAGAAAAAACAUAACUGAACACACCCUCGGACAGAGAACCAAGGAAAAUCCCAAAAGGGUGGGAGCUGUGUCCCCCAAUGGAUCCUUCGAGAAAGAGAAUUUACGGUAAGUGUUAAAAAAUCUCCUUUUCUCUAUCGGCUCCAUUGGGGGACACAGGCCAUGUGACGUACCAAAGCCGUCCCUUGGGUAGGCAGAUAAGCAGUCAGGCAGACGGCCGUUCCACGGCCGCCUGCAACACUUUAUGGCCCAGACUAGCAUCAGCCGAUGCGAAGGUAUGGACUCGGUAGAACCUCGAGAAAGUGUGCAAAACGACCAGGUAGCCGCCUUGCAAAUCUGCGAGGCCGAGGCUCUAUUCUGGAGAGCCCAGGAUGCCCCAACAGAAUGGGUAGAAUGAGCCACAACCCUGAAAGGAGGAAUCUUCCCCUUACAGCGAUAGGCCUCCGAAAUGGCAGACCGAAUCCACUGAGAAAUGGUGGCCUUGGAAGCAGGUUGUCCCUUGCGACGACCUUCCGUAAGGACGAAAAAGGAAUCACACUGACGAAAUGAAGAAGUGAUGGAGAGAUAAGACCGAACAGCCCGAACUACAUCCAGUUUGUGUAGUAAGCGCUCCUUAGGAUGAGAAGGAGCAGGACAAAAAGACGGGAGAACAAUGUCCUCAUUGAGAUGAAAGGCCGAAACCACCUUAGCAAAAAGGAGGGAUCUGGCCGGAAAACAACCUUGUCCUGGUGGAUCACCAGAAACGGAGAACGGCAGGAGAGAGCUGCCAAUUCAGACACCCUCCGGAUGGAGGUGAUAGCAACAAGAAACGCCACUUUCCAAGAAAGAAGGCGGAGAGACACCUCUCUAAGGGGCUCAAAGGGUGCACCCUGGAGGGCACUCAGAACCAAAUUCAAGUCCCAAGGGGGAGAGGGUGACCGAUAAGGAGGAACAGCAUGCGUCACUCCUUUAAGGAAAGUCCGGACAUGAGAAUUAGAAGCCAGGGGCCGCUGGAAAAGAACAGCAAAGGCCAAAACCUAACCUUUAAGGGAACUGAGAGACAACCCUAGUUCAACCCCAACUGCAAAAAGGAGAGAAGACGGGGAACCGAAAAGGUUACCAGGCAGAAGUCUUGAGCUUCACACCAACGAAAAUAAGACCGCCAAGUACGGUGGUGAAUUCUUGCAGAGGAGGGCUUACGAGCCUUGAGCAUGGUGUGAAUGACUUAGGAAGAGAACUCGCGGGCCCUCAAAACCGCGGUCUCAACCCCCACGCCGUCAAAUGCAGCGACUGUAAAUUGGGGUGGCAAAGGGGACCCUGAGUGAGCAGGCCCGGACGGAGCGGAAGGCGCAGUGGAGUGUCGUCCAGGAGCCUGACUACGUCGGCGUACCACGACCUUCGGGGCCAAUCUGGAGCUACCAGAAUGGCGGGGACAUCCUCUGCCUUGAGCUUCCUCAGUACCCUGGGAAGGAGCGGAAGAGGAGGGAACAGAUAGGGUAGGGCAAACCCCACCCGUCCACGGCCAGAGCCUGAGGGUCCCGGGACUCGGACACAAAAGGAAGGAUCUUCCGAUUGUGCCGGGACGCGAAGAGGUCCACGUCCGGAAUGCCCCAGAGGUCGCAGAGUUGUGCGAAGAACUCUGGAUGUAGGGACCACUCGCCGGGGUCGGGUGAGGACCGACUGAGGAAGUCUGCUUCCCAGUUGAGCACCCCCGGAAUGUGAAUCGCCGAAAUGGCCGGAACCUUGCUCUCCGCCCAGGUGAGAAUCUUGGUCACCUCGGCCAUGGCCGCCGAGCUGCGAGUGCCGCCCUGUCGAUUUAUGUACGCCUCGGCCGUGGCGUUGUCUGACUGAACGCGGACAGGACGGGACUGAAGACGGGACUCCCAAUGAAGAAGACAAAGAAGAAUCGCCCGUAAUUCUAUUAUGUUUAUCGGAAGAAGGGUCUCCUGGGGAGACCAGAGUCCCUGAACCGUCCAAUCCCUGAACAUGCCGCCCCAGCCAGACAGGCUGGCAUCCGUUGUAACAACCUGCCAGUGAAGGGGAAGAAACGACCGCCCUUGGAGAAGAAGGGGGGAGCGGAGCCACCAGAGCAGAGACUGACUGACCCUGCGAGGGAGAACAAUCUGACAAUCGAGGGACAGAGGAGACCUGUUCCAUCGGGAAAGAAUCGCUGGUUGAAGGGGGCAGUAAUGAAACUGGGCAAAGGGUACGGCCUCCAUAGUUACCACCAUCCGACCCAGGACUUCCAUACAAGUGCAGAUGGAGACUGAUACCCGGGACCGAAGGGAGCGGACCCCCAACCGGAGCGCCUGUCCGGCGGAAGACAAAUCCGGGCAGAGGCCUUGUCGAAUUGAAGUCCCAGGAAGGUUAGAGACUGGGUAGGGCGGAGGACUGACUUGUCCCGGUUGACCAUCCACCCGAAGCGAGUCAGAAUGUGGAGAGUGACGUCCAGAUUCUCCAGAGUCUGGGCUCUGGUUGGAGCCUUGAUGAGAAGGUCGUCCAGAUAGGGUAUCACCGAGAUUCCCCUCGACCGUGACAGGCCCAUCACUGGCGCAAGGAUCUUUGUAAAGACCCGAGGAGCCGUGGCUAGACCGAAGGGGAGAGCUACAAAUUGAAAGUGCCCCUCCGGAACCGCAAAGCGGAAGUACUGAUGAUGGCCUGGGACUAUUGGCACAUGGAGGUAGGCAUCCUUGAUGUCAACUAAUGAAAGGAACUGCCCUUGUUCCGGGGACGCCACCACCGAACGGAGAGAUUCCAUUCGGAAGUGGCGGAUGAGAAGGUGAUUGUUGAGACGCUUGAGGUCCAAAAUUGGACGCACAGAACCGUCCUUCUUGGGAACCACAAAAAGAUGUGAAUAGAAACCCCGAAACCGUUCCCCUGGAGGAACGGGAACAAUAACCCCCUGAAGAAGCAGAGACUGGAGAGCCGCUCGAAAUUGCUUCACCAGAGGAGGAGACCGGGGGGCCCGGGAGCGAAAAAAAGCGAUCCCUCGGAAGGGAGGCGAAUUCGAUCCGGUAACUGUUGGGCACCACAUCCCUGACCGAAGAGUCCUGAAUGUGAGAGGUCCAAAUGUCUCAAAAAAACAAGAGACGACCUCCCACCCGAGAAGAAACCGCGGGUGGGGGCCUCACUUCAUGCAGAAGUGGGCUUGUGGUUGCCUGAUUUGGGCGCAAAGCGGCCGGACCGGUUGGAGUCCGACUUCCAAGACGGGCGUGGCCGGAACGAGGGAGCCUUCCUGUCCCACAAGGGCGCCUACCCGGACCCUUUGCUGGAGUCAGAGGUCCGAAAGGACCGAAAGAAAAAGUGCUUCCUUUGGGAAGUAGGGCGAGCCUUAUUUUGAGGUAACAAGGAACUCUUACCUCCCGUUGCUUCAGAGAUAAUUUCAUCAAGGCGUUUGCCAAAAAGACGGCCGCCCGUAAAGGGAAGCUCAGUGAAAGACCUUUUGGAAGCGGCAUCCGCAUUCCAAGCUUUAAGCCACAUAGAGCGGCGGAGAGCCUCUAGGUGACCCACAGCAAAAGCAGAACAACAGGCUGCCUGCAUGGAAGCUGUGCACAGGAAGUCCCCAGCUUUAGAGCAUUGGAGAGCCAGAGCAGAUAGAUCCUCUGGGGGAGAUCCCGCUAAGAUAUCCUGAUGGAGAUUUUGGCACCACUCUGCCAGGCCCUUGGACACCCAUGUCGAGGCGAAGAUGGGAAGAAGAGCCAGCUGCUUCAGUGGCAAACUUCGCUAAGGAUUCUACCUUCUUAUCCGUGGGAUCCUUGAAGGCUGCGGCAUCUGCCAGAGGCAGUGUAGUCACCUUAGAGAUCCGGGAAAUUGGUGAAUCCACUGAGGGAGGGGAAACCACCUUAGUGACAAGGUCCUUGUCAAAUGGAUAACGUUCUUGAAUUGUCUUGAUUCCCGGAAACCUCUUGUCUGGAUGUUUCCAUGCAGUUUCCAGAAUGUCGUCAAAGUCAGUGUGAGAGCUGAACCUUUGAAGUGCCGGCUUAGCAUGAUGAAUGGAUACUCCUGGAUUGACAUCCGAAGAUCCUGGGUCCUCUAAGUGAAAGGUGUCUCUUAGGGCUGUCACCAAAGAGUUCACCGUUGCAAUUGAGUCCGGGCGGUCCUCUGAGUCAGAUGCCGGCUCGGAAGCCUCGUCCACCAGUUCCCCAGGGGAAUGAGAAUGAGUAGAGGCAGUCCUGGAGGGGGGCGACCCUGACCGUGUACGCAGCUCUGGCGUGGCAGAGCGGCGACUCCGAGAACGUCCUCUAGAGGAACGAAGUUUGUGCCCAGAUGACCGGGGGGCAGGACCCACGAGGGGAACGCUCCCGUCUAUCUUAAGACUCAAUGGAAGAGUCAGACGAGGCCCCCCUAGGACGCUUGUGAGAGCGUGAAGUAUGUGGAGACGAGGAACGGGCCCUUCCAGAGGUCCUGCGCAAGGAAGACCCCUUCAAGGCGGACACCACUUCCCGGGAGGCCUCAGCCACCGAACGGGAGACUUUGGUCAUGUCAGCCAUAUAUUGGGACAGGGAAGAAACCCAGGCUGGAGGAGCGGCUGAACCCACCGGGACCGAAGGGACAUCAGUGGGUACCAGGGGGUCUGGGGGAGCAGUGGAGCAGGCAGGGCAAGUGGGCUCAGCAGAGCCAGACAUCUUGGUAUUACAGUGCUUACAGAGAUAGUAAGUCACCGAAGUUCCAGGUUUCUGUUUAGAGGAAGGAAUAGCUCUGGAUACGGACAUAAUGUAGAAAGAAAAAAGGAGAUAGGAACUUUCUCACCCUAGUCUGUGUCCCCUGUCAGCUGCAGUGAGGAGAACUCGCUCUGAGCAGCUAGAAAGAGAGUGAACAGGCCAGCCAAUAGGAAGAGAGGGGCGUGCCUGAAGCAAGGCACUCACUAACUGACCCCUUCUAACUGAAAAUCGCUCCCACGGUGCUGAUUGGAGGCUGCUUUGCACCUCUGAGAGCUCCUGGCCCUGUGGGCGGAGCAAUAGACGGCCUUAAAGAACUGUCAUGGCGCCCGCUCCUUGUCUCGAGCACACCUGACGGCUGUUUAUGCGCCUGGAGGAAGAGAGCGGGCGGACAAAGCGCCGGCAGAGACUGCCGGACUCUGUACAUCAUUCAAGGAGAGGUGAGAAGUAAGGCAAAAAGAUUAGGAACCUCCCCGGUGUUGAGCAGACUGUCUACAUCCUCCAGAAACGCCUCCUGUUUGAUUUGUGUGUCUGUGAUGAGAAAAACUGUCUUCUGUCCUUUCACUCCAGCGCUCUUUAGUAAACUCUGG